UUUAUCUAUGUAUAAAUUCAUAUAUCUUUUGUUUUGUAUUUAAUGCUCAAGGCUAUAAAUGUUUCUUAUAAUGGUCUUUCCAGGAAAUUUUAGGCUCGCGUUCGUGCCACGCUCGUGCCAUGCUCGACUUACCGAAUCCCCCACUCCAAUUUGAAAUUCGAUAGACGAAAUCGCGGCGCGGGGUGGUGUCAUUCGAGUGUCGAAAGUUGUGGAGAUUAGACGUGUCGUCUUUCUCGAGGUUAGUAGCCAAUUGUUGAGAUACAUGACUUUCAAGGCGGGAAAAGGAAUUUUCAAUAUGGACGCCAAGACAGUUGACUUUUUAUGAAGAAAUGAAGUUUGAAUUUUUGUCUUGAAGACAGACAAAAUUAUUUUAACCGUGCGCAAUGCGGUUGGUAGAUUCAGUGUUUGUUUCGUAAUAGUAUUUUUUAUGUUUUUUAGAGCAUAAUAGCUCUAAAUAAAUUUAAUUAUAAUAAUUAUACGCGAAAUUAGAAUCAGUGCUUGCUCGCCGAUUACAUAAUUUGAACGGACGCGAUAGUUUCUUAUUUUUAUUUUUUUAUUUUAAAUAUUCGUUUUCGGUAUAGAAUAGAAUCAGUGCUUCUCUCAAGAGAAUAAGGCGAUCAUCCAUCACGCGAAAAGGUAUUGAAGAUUUCUUUAUAUUUGUGGCUACGCGCAAUGUAGUCGGUAGAGUCAGUGUUUAAUUCGUAACAUAGUAUAUAUAAUAAUUUACUAUUA